rnacentral:tRNA from 1 species
GGGGUUGUGGCUCAGGGGCAGAGCACUUACCUGGCAUGUGAUAGGCACUGGGUUCAAUUCUCAGAACUUCA